rnacentral:rRNA from 1 species
GACGAACGCUGGCGGCGUGCCUAAUACAUGCAAGUUGAGCGCUGAAGGUUGGUACUUGUACCGACUGGAUGAGCAGCGAACGGGUGAGUAACGCGUGGGGAAUCUGCCUUUGAGCGGGGGACAACAUUUGGAAACGAAUGCUAAUACCGCAUAAAAACUUUAAACACAAGUUUUAGGUUUGAAAGAUGCAAUUGCAUCACUCAAAGAUGAUCCCGCGUUGUAUUAGCUAGUUGGUGAGGUAAAGGCUCACCAAGGCGAUGAUACAUAGCCGACCUGAGAGGGUGAUCGGCCACAUUGGGACUGAGACACGGCCCAAACUCCUACGGGAGGCAGCAGUAGGGAAUCUUCGGCAAUGGACGAAAGUCUGACCGAGCAACGCCGCGUGAGUGAAGAAGGUUUUCGGAUCGUAAAACUCUGUUGGUAGAGAAGAACGUUGGUGAGAGUGGAAAGCUCAUCAAGUGACGGUAACUACCCAGAAAGGGACGGCUAACUACGUG